AUUUAUAUAGUUUAAAUAAAACAUUACAUUUUCAAUGUAAAAAUAAAAAUUCUAUUUUUUAUAAAUA
rnacentral:tRNA from 1 species